rnacentral:rRNA from 1 species
UACGUAGGGGGCGAGCGUUGUCCGGAAUUAUUGGGCGUAAAGAGCUCGUAGGCGGUUUGUCGCGUCUGCUGUGAAAACUGGAGGCUCAACCUCCAGCCUGCAGUGGGUACGGGCAGACUAGAGUGCGGUAGGGGAGAUUGGAAUUCCUGGUGUAGCGGUGGAAUGCGCAGAUAUCAGGAGGAACACCGAUGGCGAAGGCAGAUCUCUGGGCCGUAACUAACGCUGAGGAGCGAAAGCGUGGGGAGCGAACAGG